rnacentral:ncRNA from 1 species
CCGAAGAAGGACGUGACGAACGACGAAAUGCUUUGGGGAGCUGUAAGUGAGCUAAGAUCCAGAGAUAUCCGAAUGGGGGAACCCGGCUAGCGUAAUGGCUAGUCACACCUAAGG